ensembl:snoRNA
AUCCUUUUGUAGUUCAUAAGCAUAAUGACUGGGUGUUCACACACAUGUGAGAUGUGUCACCCUCAAACCUUGUUACAUUGGCACACUAUCCAUUUGACA